UCCAUCGUGAGGUGGAAUCUGAAGGAAGCCUACGGCAAAUUUCCGGCCCGAGGAAUACAAAGGUCAUCAGGCAUAUACCGCUGGAUGAGCUUGCAACACAAAGUGAAGUCCAAAGAUUACACAGAAGCGGUAGUGUAAAUGGUCCGGGUAUAUGGAAUGAAAGUGUAUCAC
rnacentral:ncRNA from 1 species